GGCUUACCAUGCAAGUCGAGGGGCAGCAUGAACUUAGCUUGCUAAGUUUGAUGGCGACCGGCGCACGGGUGAGUAACACGUAUCCAACCUGCCGAUGACUCGGGGAUAGCCUUUCGAAAGAAAGAUUAAUACCCGAUAGUAUAAUGAAACCGCAUGGUCUUAUUAUUAAAGAAUUUCGGUUAUCGAUGGGGAUGCGUUCCAUUAGGCAGUUGGUGAGGUAACGGCUCACCAAACCUUCGAUGGAUAGGGGUUCUGAGAGGAAGGUCCCCCACAUUGGAACUGAGACACGGUCCAAACUCCUACGGGAGGCAGCAGUGAGGAAUAUUGGUCAAUGGGCGCAGGCCUGAACCAGCCAAGUAGCGUGAAGGAUGACUGCCCUAUGGGUUGUAAACUUCUUUUAUAUGGGAAUAAAGUUUUCCACGUGUGGAAUUUUGUAUGUACCAUAUGAAUAAGGAUCGGCUAACUCCGUGCCAGCAGCCGCGGUAAUACGGAGGAUCCGAGCGUUAUCCGGAUUUAUUGGGUUUAAAGGGAGCGUAGGUGGACAGUUAAGUCAGUUGUGAAAGUUUGCGGCUCAACCGUAAAAUUGCAGUUGAUACUGGCUGUCUUGAGUACAGUAGAGGUGGGCGGAAUUCGUGGUGUAGCGGUGAAAUGCUUAGAUAUCACGAAGAACUCCGAUUGCGAAGGCAGCUCACUGGACUGCAACUGACACUGAUGCUCGAAAGUGUGGGUAUCAAACAGGAUUAGAUACCCUGGUAGUCCACACAGUAAACGAUGAAUACUCGCUGUUUGCGAUAUACAGUAAGCGGCCAAGCGAAAGCAUUAAGUAUUCCACCUGGGGAGUACGCCGGCAACGGUG
rnacentral:rRNA from 1 species